UACGUAGGGUGCAAGCGUUGUCCGGAAUUAUUGGGCGUAAAGAGCUCGUAGGCGGCCUGUUGCGUCGGCUGUGAAAACCCGGGGCUCAACUCCGGGCCUGCAGUCGAUACGGGCAGGCUAGAGUCCGGCAGGGGAGACUGGAAUUCCUGGUGUAGCGGUGGAAAUGCGCAGAUAUCAGGAGGAACACCGGUGGCGAAGGCGGUUCUCUGGGCCUUACCUGACACUGAGGAGCGAAAGCGUGGGGAGCGAACAGG
rnacentral:rRNA from 1 species